rnacentral:rRNA from 1 species
UCGUGUCGUGAGAUGUUCGGUUAAGUCCGGCAACGAGCGCACCCACAUCCUUAGUUGCCAGCAGUUCGGCUGGGCACUCUAGGGAAACUGCCCGUGAUAAGCGGGAGGAAGGUGUGGAUGACGUCAAGUCCUCAUGGCCCUUACGGGUUGGGCUACACACGUGCUACAAUGGCAGUGACAAUGGGUUAAUCCCUAAAAGCUGUCUCAGUUCGGAUUGUCGUCUGCAACUCGACGGCAUGAAGUCGGAAUCGCUAGUAAUCGCGCAUCAGCAAUGGCGCGGUGAAUACGUUCCCGGACCUU